rnacentral:lncRNA from 1 species
CAGGUUAGAACCCUUUCCGACUUUAAGCAGUUGAUCAAAUCUAAUCAAGAAUUGGUUGGAAUUAGGUUAAAGGGGCUCAAAAUUGAAUUUAGCUAUAGUUGAUCAAAUUGAUUCACAUUUGAUAUGAAUUGAUUAAGUCAAGACCAAAUUUGGCUCAGUGGUUUGAGCCCGAGUCUAUAGGUUAACCUAAUUGAUUCUAAUCAACUAAUUUGAUGUCUAAGGCAAGUCUUAAACGGUGGUUCUUUAAUUGGUUCUGUUGUCUAAUUUGGUCAAUUUAUUGG